UACGGGGGGGGCAAGCGUUGUUCGGAAUUACUGGGCGUAAAGGGUGCGUAGGCGGCUUUCUAAGUUGGAUGUGAAAACUAUGGGCUCAACCCAUAGCCUGCAUCCAAAACUGGAGAGCUUGGGUUCUGGAGGGGAAAGCGGAAUUCCUGGUGUAGCGGUGAAAUGCGUAGAUAUCAGGAGGAACACCGGUGGCGAAGGCGGCUUUCUGGACAGACACCGACGCUGAGGCACGAAAGCGUGGGGAGCAAACAGG
rnacentral:rRNA from 1 species